AUUGAACGCUGGCGGCAUGCCUUACACAUGCAAGUCGAACGGUAACGCGGGGCAACCUGGCGACGAGUGGCGAACGGGUGAGUAAUGUAUCGGAACGUGCCCAGUUGUGGGGGAUAACUGCUCGAAAGAGCAGCUAAUACCGCAUACGACCUGAGGGUGAAAGCGGGGGAUCGCAAGGCCUCGCGCAAUUGGAGCGGCCGAUAUCAGAUUAGGUAGUUGGUGGGGUAAAGGCCCACCAAGCCAACGAUCUGUAGCUGGUCUGAGAGGACGACCAGCCAAACUGGGACUGAGACACGGCCCAGACUCCUACGGGAGGCAGCAGUGGGGAAUUUUGGACAAUGGACGCAAGUCUGAUCCAGCCAUGCCGCGUGCGGGAAGAAGGCCUUCGGGUUGUAAACCGCUUUUGUCAGGGAAGAAACGGUCUGGGUUAAUACCUCGGGCUAAUGACGGUACCGUAAGAAUAAGCACCGGCUAACUACGUGCCAGCAGCCGCCGUAACAC
rnacentral:rRNA from 1 species